CCUACGGGAGGCAGCAGUGAGGAAGAUUGGUCAAUGGGCGCGAGCCUGAACCAGCCAAGUAGCGUGAAGGAUGACUGCCCUACGGGUUGUAAACUUCUUUUAUAAAGGAAUAAAGUGAGGCACGUGUGCCUUUUUGUAUGUACUUUAUGAAUAAGGAUCGGCUAACUCCGUGCCAGCAGCCGCGGUAAUACGGAGGAUCCGAGCGUUAUCCGGCUUUCUUGGGUUUAAAGGGAGCGUAGAUGGGUUGGUAAGUCAGUUGUGAAAGUUUGCGGCUCAACCGUAAAAUUGCAAUUGAUACUGGCAGUCUUGAGUACAGUUGCGGUAGUCGGACUUCGUGGUGUUGCGGU
rnacentral:rRNA from 1 species